ACGCCGAUGGUGAAGCGGUUAUCAUGCUUGCCUUCCAUGAUCUUGUCAGGUCGUCGGUAGCAAGCGGCAGGGGUUCGACUCCCCUUCGGCGUA